rnacentral:rRNA from 1 species
GGGGAAUAUUGGGCAAUGGACGCAAGUCUGACCCAGCAACGCCGCGUGAAGGAAGAAGGCUUUCGGGUUGUAAACUUCUUUUAAGGGGGAAGAGUAGAAGACGGUACCCCUUGAAUAAGCCACGGCUAACUACGUGCCAGCAGCCGCGGUAAUACGUAGGGCGCAAGCGUUGUCCGGAAUUAUUGGGCGUAAAGAGCUCGUAGGCGGUUUGUCGCGUCUGCUGUGAAAACCCGAGGCUCAACCUCGGGCCUGCAGUGGGUACGGGCAGACUAGAGUGCGGUAGGGGAGACCGGAAUUCCUGGUGUAGCGGUGGAAUGCGCAGAUAUCAGGAGGAACACCGAUGGCGAAGGCAGGUCUCUGGGCCGCAACUGACGCUGAGGAGCGAAAGCAUGGGUAGCGAACA